UACGAAGGGGGCUAGCGUUGCUCGGAAUGACUGGGCGUAAAGGGCGCGUAGGCGGCACACACAGUCAGGCGUGAAAUUCCUGGGCUUAACCUGGGGGCUGCGUUUGAGACGUGUGAGCUAGAGGAUGGAAGAGGCUCGUGGAAUUCCCAGUGUAGAGGUGAAAUUCGUAGAUAUUGGGAAGAACACCGGUGGCGAAGGCGGCGAGCUGGUCCAUUACUGACGCUGAGGCGCGAAAGCGUGGGGAGCAAACAGG
rnacentral:rRNA from 1 species